rnacentral:misc_RNA from 1 species
GAUGAAGAACGUAGCGAAAUGCGAUACUUGGUGUGAAUUGCAGAAUCCCGUGAACCAUCGAGUUUUUGAACGCAAGUUGCGCCCGAAGCCGUUAGGCCGAGGGCACGCCUGCCUGGGUGUCACACAUCGUUGCCCCAAUGCCAAUCGCCUCACUUUGUAGGUAUUUGCUUGGGGUGAAUGUUGGCCUCCCGUGAGCUUUGUCUCACGGUUGGUUGAAAAUCGAGUCCUUGGUAGGGUGUGCCAUGAUAGAUGGUGGUCGAGUUUGCACGAGACCGAUCAUGUGUGCGCUCCCCAAAAUAUGGACUCUUUGACCCCACACGCGUCUUUUGACGCUCAUGACGAGACCUCAGGUCAGGCGGGGCUACCCGCUGAGUUUAAGCAUAUCAAUAAGCGGAGGA